AUGCGUCCCGCAACCGCCGCGACGACAGCCUCGUCCCCAGAGGCGGGGACUUCCCUUAAGGCGAACCUAGUGCACGUGGCGCCGGUACCGUUGAUGCGGGUCGGGUGGCAGCCAGAUCUGCCACGGCCAGAACCGGUGUCCUCUUCCUCCCUAUCCAGCUUCCUCCCAUGGUUGAGAAGAGGGCUUCGUCAAGGAUCCCAUGAUGAAGGUCAACGUGGGAGGCUGCUUCCUUCGAUGGAGGCCAUGAGUGCCACGUGGGCACACACGUGGCUGCGCUUCAAGGUCAACCCUCGCCCAUCCUUUCUCUUCGAUUUGAUUUGA
rnacentral:rRNA from 1 species